rnacentral:rRNA from 1 species
CGUCUAUAUACGUAUAGCAUAUCAAUAAGCGGAGGAAAAGAAACUAACAAGGAUUCCCUUAGUAACGGCGAGUGAAGCGGGAAGAGCUCAAAUUUGAAAUCUUCAAGGUUCUACCUUGACGAAUUGUAGUUUAAAGAAGUGUUUUUCUGUUAGAGGAGUAGCAAAAGCUCCUUGGAAUGGGACAUCAUAGAGGGUGAGAAUCCCGUAUUUGGUUAUUCUUUCUAGCUUUGUGAUACACUUUCAAAGAGUCGGAUUGUUUGGGAAUGCAGUCCAAAAUGGGUGGUAAAUUUCAUCUAAAGCUAAAUAUUGGCGAGAGACCGAUAGCGAACAAGUACCGUGAGGGAAAGAUGAAAAGAACUUUGAAAAGAGAGUUAAACAGUACGUGAAAUUGUCAAAAGGGAAGCGUUUGACACCAGUGUUGUUUUUUCCGAAAAUCAAUUAAGAAAUGGCUUGAUUUUGUGUUGUAUUGACCUUAUCAGCUUUCUUCACUCUUUUUCGAGUCUUUCUUAAUGCACUUUUCGGUUAACAAGUCAACAUCAAUUUCUUUUGUUGUAAAAGGGUAUUUGGAAGGUGGCUUUCUUUUCGGAGAAAGUGUUUAUAGCCUUAUACCUCUACAAUCGGAGAGAUUGAGGUCUGCAGCGUAGAUCCUUCGGGGCUAGAUACACUUGUGCUAAGUUAUAGCUUUUCAUAGACAACUUGUUGACUAUGUUUAGUCAUGUAGCUUACCCGCUUGUGCUAUUUUACCUACGCUUAGGAUGUUGAGUCAUCACACAUCUCU